AUUGAACGCUGGCGGCAGGCCUAACACAUGCAAGUCGAGCGGAUGAAUGGAGCUUGCUCCUGGAUUCAUCGGCGGACGGGUGAGUAAUGCCUAGGAAUCUGCCUUGUAGUGGGGGAUAACGUCCGGAAACGGGCGCUAAUACCGCAUACGUCCUGAGGUAGAAAGUGGGGGAUCUUCGGACCUCACGCUAUCAUAUGAGCCUAGGUCGGAUUAGCUAGUUGGUGGGGUAAAGGCCUACCAAGGCGACGAUCCGUAACUGGUCUGAGAGGAUGAUCAGUCACACUGGAACUGAGAAACGGUCCAGACUCCUACGGGAGGCAGCAGUGGGGAAUAUUGGACGAUGGGCGAAAGCCUGAUCCAGCCAUGCCGCGUGUGUGAAGAAGGUCUUCGGAUUGUAAAGCAAUUUAAGUUGGGAGGAAGGGCAGUAAGUUAAUACCUUGCUGUUUUGACGUUACCAACAGAAUAAGCACCGGCUAACUUCGUG
rnacentral:rRNA from 1 species